rnacentral:rRNA from 1 species
AUGGACUUGUCAUGGACUGUCGCUGGCUUUUUCUCUCGCGGAGAGCAUGUGCACGUCUAUGUUUUCCAUCCUACUCUUUCUCAUUCAUUCACACACCUGUGCACUUAUUGUAGGUCCUCGAAAGAGAAUCUAUGUUUUUUCUACACCACACACAUCGUAUGUCUAGAAUGUAUUUGAUAGCUUGUCGACCAGGCUUGUCCUGGUUCACAAGGUCAAUAAACUAUACAACUUUCAGCAACGGAUCUCUUGGUUCUCGCAUCGAUGAAGAACGCAGCGAAUUGCGAUAAGUAAUGUGAAUUGCAGAUUUCCAGUGAAUCAUCGAAUCUUUGAACGCACCUUGCGCUCCUUGGUAUUCCGAGGAGCAUGCCUGUUUGAGUGUCAUUGAAUCCUCAACCAUGCGCUUGAUUGUCAAUCAAGCACAUGGCUUGGACUUGGGGGUUGCUGGCAGCCAUCAAUGGUCAUCAGCUCUCCUUAAAUGCAUUAGCAAAGGACAUGCUAGUCUUUUGGACAUGCACGGCCUUCGACGUGAUAAUGAUCGUCGUGGCUGGACCGUCUUUUUGGGAUCAUGCAUGAAUCAUCCCCUUUGCUUCUAAUACUCAAAUAUUGAU